rnacentral:rRNA from 1 species
AUACGUAGGGUGCAAGCGUUAUCGGAAUUACUGGGCGUAAAGCGUGCGCAGGCGGUUUUGUAAGACAGUGGUGAAAUCCCCGGGCUCAACCUGGGAACUGCCAUUGUGACUGCAAGGCUAGAGUGCGGCAGAGGGGGAUGGAAUUCCGCGUGUAGCAGUGAAAUGCGUAGAUAUGCGGAGGAACACCGAUGGCGAAGGCAAUCCCCUGGGCCUGCACUGACGCUCAUGCACGAAAGCGUGGGGAGCAAACAGGAUUAGAUACCCUGGUAGUCAAGGGCG